UCUCGCUUGCUUUCCGCAGGGCUGGGGGAUGCUGUGUCAGUCUCUGAUGGCCAUUCCAGACUCUCCUCAGCCUAGAGUUAUAUUAGAGUUCAUGAAAAAGAUAUAAAGGGCCUGGAAGAUUCUGUCCACCUGCUCUGGCUGCUGGCCCCAGAUGCUGCUGCCCAUACGACUAGAAGAGGGAAUUCUGGGAGAUUUUCCUGCCGCCGCUAUAGAGCGGAGAGAGCUGCGGACAGAGGAAUGUCUGCCGAGAGAGAGAACAGGGAAUGCAUUGCUGAACGCUACUCUGGAGGGCAACAGAAAACACAAGCUCCGGCUCUCAGAUCAACACCACUGACAUCUCGACUGUAAUUCAAGAACCCUCAGUGGAUCGUGACGACUCUACACGCUUUUUACUGACUGUCUCUUCUGAUGUGU